rnacentral:rRNA from 1 species
GAUGAACGCUGGCGGCGUGCCUAAUACAUGCAAGUCGAGCGAACAGACGAGGAGCUUGCUCCUCUGACGUUAGCGGCGGACGGGUGAGUAACACGUGGAUAACCUACCUAUAAGACUGGGAUAACUUCGGGAAACCGGAGCUAAUACCGGAUAACAUGUUGAACCGCAUGGUUCAACAGUGAAAGACGGUUUUGCUGUCACUUAUAGAUGGAUCCGCGUCGCAUUAGCUAGUUGGUAAGGUAACGGCUUACCAAGGCAACGAUGCGUAGCCGACCUGAGAGGGUGAUCGGCCACACUGGAAGUGAGCCGCGGUCCAGACACCGACGGGAGGCAGCGGUAGGGAAUCUUCGGAGAUGGGCGAAAGCCUGACGGAGCAGCGCCGCGUGGGUGAAGAAGGUCUUCGGAUCGUAAAACUCUGUUAUUAGGGAAAAACAAAUGUGUAAGUAACUAUGCACGUCUUGACGGUACCUAAUCAGAAAGCAACGGCUAACUACGUG